rnacentral:rRNA from 1 species
GGAUGAACGCUGGCGGCGUGCCUAAUACAUGCAAGUCGAGCGAACAGAUGAGGAGCUUGCUCCUCUGACGUUAGCGGCGGACGGGUGAGUAACACGUGGAUAACCUACCUAUAAGACUGGGAUAACUUCGGGAAACCGGAGCUAAUACCGGAUAAUAUAUUGAACCGCAUGGUUCAAUAGUGAAAGACGGUUUUGCUGUCACUUAUAGAUGGAUCCGCGCCGCAUUAGCUAGUUGGUAAGGUAACGGCUUACCAAGGCAACGAUGCGUAGCCGACCUGAGAGGGUGAUCGGCCACACUGGAACUGAGACACGGUCCAGACUCCUACGGGAGGCAGCAGUAGGGAAUCUUCCGCAAUGGGCGAAAGCCUGACGGAGCAACGCCGCGUGAGUGAAGAAGGUCUUCGGAUCGUAAAACUCUGUUAUUAGGGAAGAACAAAUGUGUAAGUAACUAUGCACGUCUUGACGGUACCUAAUCAGAAAGCCACGGCUAACUACGUGCCAGCAGCCGCGGUAAUACGUAGGUGGCAAGCGUUAUCCGGAAUUAUUGGGCGCAAAGCGCGCGUAGGCGGUUUUUUAAGUCUGAUGUGAAAGCCCACGGCUCAACCGUGGAGGAUCAUUGGAAACUGGAAAACUUGAGUGCAGAAGAGGAAAGUGGAAUUCCAUGUG